CGUGAACCUUUACUAUAGCUUGACACUGAACAUUGAGCCUUGAUGUGUAGGAUAGGUGGGAGGCUUUGAAGUGUGGACGCCAGUCUGCAUGGAGCCGACCUUGAAAUACCACCCUUUAAUGUUUGAUGUUCUAACGUUGGCCCCUGAUCGGGGUUGCGGACAGUGUCUGGUGGGUAGUUUGACUGGGGCGGUCUCCUCCUAAAGAGUAACGGAGGAGCACGAAGGUUGGCUAAUCCUGGUCGGACAUCA
rnacentral:rRNA from 1 species